rfam:Triticum aestivum genome assembly, contig: Triticum_aestivum_CS42_TGACv1_scaffold_569066_7AS
AUAUCUUUCUCUGCCUUUUGGCUAAGAUCAAAUGUAGUACCUAUUUUUAUUAGUUUAAUAUCUGAUGAUAUAUAGGCCAUGUGCUUACAAUGAUAUUAAAUUUAUUUUUUAUGGAGAAGGGUUCAUCACAAUGGCUUACCAUUAGAACCCUCGUGUAUUGUCUAGGCAUUGCACUACUGCCUGGCUCGGCGCACCCCAA